rnacentral:rRNA from 1 species
CCCUUUUGGGUGGGGGGAAUAACUCAGGGAAACUUGAGCUAAUACCGCAUAAUGCAGCGGCUCGACAUCGAGACAGUUGUUAAAGCGGGGGAUUGGAGUAAUCCGACCUCGCGCCUAAAGAGAAGCCUGCGGCAGAUUAGCUUGUUGGUAAGGUAACGGCUUACCAAGGCGACGAUCUGUAGCCGGCCUGAGAGGGCGGUCGGCCACACUGACACUGACAUACGGGUCAG